CAAAAACAUGUCUCUUUGUAAAAUAUAAAUAGAGAGUCGGGCCUGCUCGGUGAAUAAGUUUUUAACAGCUGCGGUAUUUUAACUGUACUAAGGUAGCAUAAUAAUUUGCCUUAUAAUUUGAGGCUAGAAUGAAUGGUUUGACGAAGGUUAAUCUGUCUCCAUCUUAUUUUUUAGAAGUUAAUUUUUAAAGUGAAAAAGCUUAAAUUUUUCAAAGGGACGAGAAGACCCUAAUGAGCUUAUAAUUUUAUUAUCAUUAUUUAAAACAUUUAGGUGGUGGUAUAUAAAUUUUAAUUGGGGUGAUUAAGGAAUAAAUUGUGUAUAGUAACUUCCUUAAAUUAGGUAUUUGUAGAUAAAGUAACCAAUGUGAUAUUGCUUAUAGUAUAGUUACCAUAGGGAUAACAGCGUAAUUUGUUUAGAGAGUUCUUAUUGAAAAACGAGAUUGCGACCUCGAUGUUGGAUUAAAGUAACCCUAAGGUGCAGAAGCUUUAGUAGGUAAAUCUGUUCGA
rnacentral:rRNA from 1 species